rnacentral:rRNA from 1 species
ACUCAAAUGAAUAGACGGGGACCCGCACAAGCAGUGGAGCAUGUGGUUUAAUUCGAUGCAACGCGAAGAACCUUACCCAGACUUGACAUGCACUAGACGAUAGCAGAAAUGUUAUUUCCCUUCGGGGCUGGUGCACAGGUGCUGCAUGGCUGUCGUCAGCUCGUGCCGUGAGGUGUUGGGUUAAGUCCCGCAACGAGCGCAACCCUUAUCAUUAGUUGCCAACAUAUAAGGUGGGAACUCUAAUGAGACUGCCUGGGUUAACCAGGAGGAAGGUGAGGAUGACGUCAAGUCCGCAUGGCCCUUAUGUCUGGGGCUACACACGUGCUACAAUGGUCGGUACAGAAGGCAGCGAAACCGCGAGGUGAAGCAAAUCCCAAAAAGCCGGCCUCAGUUCAGAUUGUAGUCUGCAACUCGACUACAUGAAGACGGAAUUGCUAGUAAUGGCGCGUCAGCAACACCGCCGUGAAUACGUUCCCGGGUCUUGUACACACCGCCCGU